rnacentral:lncRNA from 1 species
CUACUACUAUUAUUAUCUUUGAAGCUCCAACGUGGUUCUUAGCACAGAGGAGGUGCUUAUUAUAAAUGGCUAAUGAAUAAGGAGAGAAACAAGAUCCACACUUUACAGUUGAGGAACAUGAGACUCAGUGGUGGAGGGAGCAGAGGGAGGUGGUGUCCAUGGUCGCUCAGUCAGCCUCCAGCAGAGAAGGAUCUGACGCCACAGUCCAGGCUAUUCCUGCAGUUCCUCGAGGCCCUGCUCACUGAGGCCAAGAUAGGAGAAGGACCUUUCCCAAGGUCAUGCACUGGUCAGCUGGCUGUAGAACCGAGAUCAGAGAGCUGGCCCCUGGCCACUGGGCAGAUAGCAGCCUGCAGUCAAGCACAAGUGGCUUUCUGGAGGUGAUUUCAUUGACCCCUGCUUCUCCCCCCAACCAGGCUUGGCCAUUCCCUGGCUGCCAGGAGCAGCGACAGGUGAUGGAGCAGGAGGUGAUAAACACAUCCCUUGACUUCCGUGAACGCCCAUCCAAUUUGCCAUUCCCAGGCUUAUGCCAAGAGUGUUUGUGUUAAUAAACCAAAUGGGCUUUUCACAGUCCACCCAGAGUGACUGAUGGCAGAGGCAGCGUGCAAUCCUGGCGGCUCCUUGGCCUCCUUCCUACUGAGCAGGGCGCCAGCUGGAACGGGGAGGGGGCACAGGAGAGCACAGACUUCAACUUCAAGUCGCUUUAAGUUGCAGACUUCCAGAGUCAUCCGGGCCCAGGGACACUUUCCCAACACCGUCAACGUGCAGUGCCUGUCCUACGAUACCCUGCAACCUCCUCCAGCAAAGCUCCGUGGCCUAGGCCACGCCCCCGGGAAUCAACUAACAAUGCAGUCAUCCCAAGGAAGAAGGGGAUUGGUCAAGACCACGUGCAGAAGCCAGUGAUUCAGCUAAAAGUCCAUCACCAGUAAGAGGGUUAGUCUGAAAUAUGUUAGAUGCUUUUUUUUUUUUUUUUUUGUCAUUAAACAAAGGGUAAGUUAUA